CCUACGGGAGGCUGCAGUGAGGAAUAUUGGUCAAUGGCCGAGAGGCUGAACCAGCCAAGUCGCGUGAGGGAUGAAUGUCCUAUGGGUUGUAAACCUCUUUUGUCAGGGAGUAAAGUCACCCACGUGUGGGGGUUGGAGUGUACCUGAAGAAAAAGCAUCGGCUAACUCCGUGCCCGCAGCCGCGGUAAUACGGAGGAUGCGAGCGUUAUCCGGAUUUAUUGGGUUUAAAGGGUGCGUAGGCGGGUUAUCAAGUCAGCGGUAAAAUCGUGGAGCUCAACUCCGUCCAGCAGUUGAAACUGGUGAUCUUGAGUGGGCGAGAAGUAGGCGGAAUGCGUGGUGUAGCGGUGAAAUGCAUAGAUAGCACGAAGAACUCCGAUUGCGAAGGCAGCAGACCGGCGCGCGACUGACGCUGAAGCACGAAAGUGUGGGUAUCGAACAGGAUUAGAUACCCUUGUAGUC
rnacentral:rRNA from 1 species